ACGGAAGGCAGCAGUGGGGAAUAUUGGACAAUGGGGGAAACCCUGAUCCAGCGACGCCGCGUGAGUGAAGAAGUAUUUCGGUAUGUAAAGCUCUAUCAGCAGGGAAGAAAAUGACGGUACCUGACUAAGAAGCUCCGGCUAAAUACGUGCCAGCAGCCGCGGUAAUACGUAUGGAGCAAGCGUUAUCCGGAUUUACUGGGUGUAAAGGGAGCGUAGACGGUGACGCAAGUCUGAAGUGAAAGGUGUGGGCUCAACCCGCAAACUGCUUUGGAAACUGUGUGACUAGAGUGUCGGAGAGGUAAGUGGAAUUCCUAGUGUAGCGGUGAAAUGCGUAGAUAUUAGGAGGAACACCAGUGGCGAAGGCGGCUUACUGGACGAUAACUGACGUUGAGGCUCGAAAGCGUGGGGAGCAAACAGGAUUAGAUACCCUGGUA
rnacentral:rRNA from 1 species